rnacentral:rRNA from 1 species
AAUCAACGCUGGCGGCGUGCCUAACACAUGCAAGUCGAACGAGAAAGGGUGGGUGUAGCAAUACAUUCACCUGAGUAAAGUGGCGACCGGGUGAGUAACACGUGGUCAACCUACCCUCGAGCGGGGGAUAACCUGGGGAAACUCGGGCUAAUACCGCAUAACGUCCCGAAGGCACAAGUCGUUGGGACCAAAGGCCCGCAAGGGUCACUUGGGGAGGGGGCUGCGGCCGAUUAGCUAGAUGGUGAGGAACGGCCCACCAUGGCCAUGAUCGGUAGCCGGCCUGAGAGGGCGCACGGUCACACUGGCACUGAAAUACGGGCCAGACUCCUACGGGAGGCAGCAGUGGGGAAUUUUGCACAAUGCCCGAAAGGGUGAUGCAGCAACGCCGCGUGAGGGAUGAAGGCC